rnacentral:rRNA from 1 species
AACGAACGCUGGCGGCAUGCCUAACACAUGCAAGUCGAACGAUCCCUUCGGGGAUAGUGGCGCACGGGUGCGUAACGCGUGGGAAUCUGCCCUCAGGUACGGAAUAACUCAGGGAAACUUGAGCUAAUACCGUAUAAUGACUUCGGUCCAAAGAUUUAUCGCCUGGGGAUGAGCCCGCGUCGGAUUAGCUAGUUGGUGAGGUAAAAGCUCACCAAGGCGACGAUCCGUAGCUGGUCUGAGAGGAUGAUCAGCCACACUGGGACUGAGACACGGCCCAGACUCCUACGGGAGGCAGCAGUGGGGAAUAUUGGACAAUGGGCGCAAGCCUGAUCCAGCAAUGCCGCGUGAGUGAUGAAGGCCUUAGGGUUGUAAAGCUCUUUUACCCGGGUAAGAUAAUGACUGUACCGGGAGAAUAAGCCCCGGCUAACUCCGUGCCAGCAGCCGCGGUAAUACGGAGGGGGCGUAGCGUUGUUCGGAAUUACUGGGCGUAAAGCGCACGUA